AACUGGUGGAGCUGAAAUGAACGCUGGGGAUUAAGCAUGGUGGGUACAUGUGAGGCAUGGAUGGUAUUAGUUUGCGCUAAGCUGUUUGUGUCUAUAUGUGUAUUUGCUGUGUGCAUUUUCUCAGUGUUAUCACUGCGACCGUUAACUGAUUGAUUCGUCUUUCAUGGAAAGGUAGUGUUUUGCUUAAUUGUGAAGCAUGUUAUAGUCCCGAAAGUUGCGAGUCUGGUUGGUUAAUGGAGAUAUCGUGCUGUUUCAUGAAUAGUUAGAUUGAUUGGUCGUUCAUGGUGUAUGACUAGCAAUAGUCUAUAUUGUGAUGCGAUUAGUUGGUUUGAUUAUUUGGGGAUAGUGCAAUAGUCGCAGUGUCAAAGUAGGUCAUCCACCUGACCCGUCUUGAAACACGGACCAAGGAGUGCAGCAUGUGUGCGAGUCUAUGGGCUUUACGAAACCCUACGGCGAAAUAAAAGUAACAGAUGAGAUCCUUAGUAGUCAGUUUUACGAUUGAUGAAAAGGCGCAUCAUCGGCCCGUAGUUUAGUAUUCGGCAGCAGGCAGUUGUUUUCUUCGGGGGAUGACGCUGUUGUUGAGUACUCGCGGAGCAGAAGCACAUAUGCUGCGACCCGAAAGAUGGUGACCUAUGCUUGGGCAGGUUGAAGCCAGAGGAAACUCUGGUGGAGGACCGCCGCGGUUCUGACGUGCAAAUCGAUCGUCAGAUCUGAGUAUAGGGGCGAAAGACUAAUCGAACCAUCUAGUAGCUGGUUCCUCCUGAAGUUUCCCUCAGGAUAGCUGAAACACUGUCAGUUGUAUCCGGUAAAGCGAAUGAUUAGAGGUAUUGGUGGCUAAUAGCUGUCAACCUAUUCUCAAACUUUCAACGGGUACGAAAGCUUACUAGAUUCAUUUUAGUAAUGCAAUGUUUUCUGAAUGAGUGUUUCAAGUGGGCCAUUUUUGGUAAGCAGAACUGGUGCUGAGGGAUGAACUUAACGUCUGGUUAAAGUGCCUAACGCAACGCUCAUCAGAUACCAUUAAAGGUGUUGGUAGAUAUUGACAGUAGGACGGUGGCCACGGAAGUUGGAAUCCGCUAAGGAGUGUGUAACAACUCACCUACCGAAUCUACCAGCCCUGAAAAUGGAUGGCGCUGUAGCGUUGGACUUAUACCGGACCGGCACUGCAGGCUUGUUUGGCAGCAGUUAUGCAGUGUCGAGUAAGGAGGGCAAUGUGAUCGCUAGGAAGUCUAAGGAGAAAUUCUGGAUGGAGCGG
rnacentral:rRNA from 1 species